rnacentral:rRNA from 1 species
GAAAUCAUAAUGUCAUAGGAAUGUGGUAAUUAUGAUAACAUAAGGGAAAAAAAUGAUAUUACCUUAUUAUUAGUGUUGUCCAACAUGGGUGCCAGAAGACUCGGUAAGGCCAGAGACGCAAACGUUAGUCGUCCUAAUCAGGCGUAAAGGGUUUGUAGGCUGCUUUAAAAGUUUUAAACUUUAAAUAGCUCUGUUAAAUUUAAUAUUAAAAAUAAUAUUUAAAAUUAAAAAUAACAGUUAAAGAAAAAUUAAUUAAAGCUAGAAUCAAAAAGAGGAUAAGACGAAUAAUACUUAGAGUAGGGAUGAUAUCUUCAGAUACUAAGGGGAAUACUAACGGUGAAAGCUUUUUAUCUACUAAUGAUUGACGCUGAGAAACGAAGGUGAGAAUAGGAAAUAGGAUUAGAUACCCAGAUACCUCUCACUGUCAACGAUGAAUGGUGGUUGUUAGUUUAUAUAAUUAAAAAAAACUGAUAACGAGGUUAACACGAUGACCAUUCCGCCUUGCGAGUACGGUUGCAAAACUGAAACCAAAAAAAUUAGUCGAUCU